rnacentral:misc_RNA from 1 species
AAGGAGAACGGCUUUUCUUGUUAUUGCGCAAUCGAAAGCAAUCGCCCAUGUCUUGGCAGUUGAAGAAAAGAGCUUGUAGAUGGAGAGGAAGGGUUGAAAUCUUUUAAGGGGACAAAUGAUGAUGGGUAGCUCCUAUCUGGUUGUACUAAGACGUUCCGUGGAUGUCUAGGUUGGUUUGUUAAGAAUUGCAACAGGCCAAGUUACCUUUCUGUUUCAG